AGAGUUUUUAGGUAAAAAUGAAAGCUUAUCGAAUAACGUAUCUGGGGUUCCCCUUUUAUAGACGGAGGGGGCGACAAAUUGAUAGCGACGCCUGUAACUGUCUGAUAGUGGGCCGCCCAGAGUCAGGAGGAAUUUAUUGCAGAGGGUAGUGGAGUGGGAUCGUGGCUAUCGCCGUGGCUUGCCACGUGGAGUCAGUUACGGGAGUGGAGCGGCGUCCGCUGUCGUGACUUGUCAGGGAGUGGUAGAAUCGCACAGGAUCCACCGCAGGGAGUGGAGUAGUAUCGUGGCCGUUAAUACGGUCUGUCAGGGAGUGAUGGAGCUGCGUAGGGUCCACCGCAGGGAGUGGAGCAGUGUUGUGGCCGUUACUGUGGCCCGCCAGGGGGUCCAAACUUGUCGGCCGAAGUUCGGUUGGA
rnacentral:lncRNA from 1 species